AAGGGCAGGACAAUGGGCGCACGUCGGGACGGGCAGUUGCCCGUCGCCCGGGAUGGGGGUCCCUCGGCUCCCCGGCAGGGAAGGGGAAGGCGGGUGGCAGGUGGCAGGUGGCAGCAGCGGGGAUGUGGGUCCUGGGCUGAGCUGAGAUUGCGGAUGGGGUUUCUUUCCUUUCCUGAUUUCUUUUUUCUCUUUUUCAAGGGCUUUGCUGUAAAUCAACCCAAGCUCCCUAGAGAGCGUCUCUGUACGGCUGGGCAUGAGGACAGGAAUGAAGCCAGGUGGAGCACAGCCCUGCCACAGCAUCCCCAAGAGACUGCCGCCUCCCAGGAGCUGUGCCACGGGGAAGCAGAUUAGGAUGUGGCUACCCCAUCCCAAACUGCAGCUUUGAGAAAAGAGGGACCCAUUUCGGAGCUCUGCUCACUCGGAGCUCAGCAACCUCCUGCCACAGCAUGGCAGGAGUUAUUCAAAGGCGGGCGGAAGCGAGCGCAGCAACUGAAACAACAAUGAAAAGGAAACGGAGCUCGAAAAAUUCUCCGUUCAUAAAUCAACUGAACUGCAGGUGAUCCCUGGGCAGGAGCGAGCUGAGGAAGAGACAGGGCUGGGCUCAGCAUGGCCAGCAGCCAGGCAGACUCCAGCCCCCCAGGCAGGGGUGGGGGAGGCUGGGAUUUCCCAGGGUGGUCCUGAGAGAUGCUGGGGUCGGUGUCUGUGUCCUCGGGGCUGCACAUCAGGGACUUGGAGGCAGGUGAGGUGCAAGCAUUUCUGGAUUUAUUUUUAUUACAAAUUUUUAUUAUACAUCUGGGUGAGAAAGGUGAAGCUGUGCUGGGUGGAGUGGGUGUGUGGGGUCAGCACUGUACGCACAGGCACCGGCACACGCCUCCUUUCCAGGCCAGAGGAAUGCAAAAAGCCCAGGGAUGUGAUGGAGUGCAGAGGUUGUGCCACAGCCCCUCAUGGCCAGCAGAGUGGGGGAUAUGGUAAUUUUGGUGCUUGAGGGGUUGCAGAGCAGCCCCAUGCUUUUUAUUCAUCUCCAUGUCUGCCUUUUUGGGUUGAAAUUCAUCACUUUGGAAGCAGAGAAGCUGAAGAGGUGUGGAUGAGCAUGGCUGCAGUCUGUGGCUGUGCCAUGAGAGGUGUUGGGGUUAACGGGAGAUGAUCCAGAGUUCUCGGCAGCAUCAGGCCAUGACUCCUUGCUGGGAUCUCAUAAAGGCUUUUUCCUCCUUAGGAAAUAGAGCUGCUGGAUUGGGACAGGCUCCCCAGUGCUGGCAGCAUCUCUGCACGGGCAGGGGAUGGGCAUGGUUGGAAAAAAUCUCUCCCUCCUGCCUCCAGUUGUGUCCUGCAGCAUCUUGCUGUAGGCAGGAUGGGGGCCAGUUUGGGCAAACCUAACUGUCCACUCCUAGCUGUCCCCUCUGCCAGCUCCUGCAAGCUGAGACCCUGUCCUGGGGACACCAAAAGGAACUUGUGCUUUUGGGACCAGUGGAUGGCCCCAAGGACCAGACUGGUGGGCUGACCUUACAGCAGAGGAAAUGAUCCAGUCGUGUUCCCCACACUGGGAGAGCCAGGAGAGAUUGCAUGUCCCCCUCUGCUGCUAUCCGUCCUCCCUCCUGUGAAUUCCCUGUCAUCUUGUCUUUUGGCAGAGCUGGAAAACUGGGAGACCACCGUAAAUAAAUCCUGUGUCUUUAAGCAGUUUUGUACAGUACAAGAAAAUGCACUCGUUGAAUUACAGCUUUUUAAUCAAAUACAUGUAACCAUGUCACUUAAAGUGCUCGCGAAAAGCAAGGAAAAAAAAACCCAACACAAUUGGAAGAGCACAAUAUUAAAACCAGCUGCCUGCUUACCCCCACCACAGUUAAUAGUUUUUGAAUGUACUGAAUGAGAGAGAAACCAGAGCCAAGCUCCACUUUCAUGUCCAUCUUUCUGAUCAAGCCCUGUCAGACGGGGGGAGCCGGGCAGCCUGGCACAGAGGCGGGGGAUGCGGGAGGGCUGCCCUCCCUUGUCCUGCUGCUUUGCCCAUCCCUUCGGGCUUUCUCGCUGUGCUGAUGGGAUGGGAGAGCCCACGGUCUUCCUGCAGGCAAAGCAGCUCUGCCUGGCUGGGACUCAGCCUGGAGAUGGGAGUACAGGUUGCCCAAGCCAUGCAGAGGUGAGGGAUGCUGCUCUGGGACAUCACCACCAUCUUGUGUGUCCCCUCCUGAUCAAAUUUGACCCAACUCUACCUCUCGAUGCUUCUUCCUGCAAUCACUGCUUGUCCCCCUGAGGCUCUGCACUACCCACAUCCCUUCCUCCGAGCACGCCAGUGCAGUGUCACAGCCCCGUGUCCCGUUCCCUCGGGACACACAUGCCAGGACCACCUCAACGCCUGCCUCUGGCCUCGCUGGCCACCGACCCCCCACCCAGCACAGCCUGCCAGCCACCCGAGCUGUGCAGUUCCCCCGCAACGUGGACCACUGCUCAUUAAGCAUGAGGCAGAGACCACCAAAUAUGUCAAAACACACUUAAAAUUUAUUGUUUCAUACCAUACGUUUGAGUCUCUUGAACGCUGGCCAGUGUUUCUCCCUCUCCGCGAUGGGGCCUAUCUGCUGUCACCGACGCUUCGCCUAUAUGUGUAGCCCGCUUGCUUGCUGGCUUUUUUUCCCCCUCCCCCUUCUUACUUUAAAUGCAAAAUACAAACAAUUGAUGGAAAAUGUACAUUUGUUCCAUAUGGGAUGGUCGGAGUGUGGAGAGGAGCCAGCAGAGGCAUUUUUAGGCAGACUCCUCUCUCCAGCGGAUGGUUGGACGGCUUCCCAGAACGGCCCCGCGCGGCCUGGCCUGACUCUCCUGACGAGCUUCAGACGCUCUGUGACGCUCCCACGGUGGUGGGGGGGACAUGAUUCAGUUCCCUGAAGGGAUCAACCUCCCCGGGCUGCCGGGCACAGGAGGAGGGAGACGCUUCAACCAAAACCACUGCAACGUCCCGGAAGGGUUGGGUGAGGAAGGCGAUGGGGAGACUUGGUUUAGGAUUUGUGUAGGGAGUUAUGUUGGUUGGGUUAUGUUGGGUUAGGUAGACUCAGUUGGGUUGGUUGGGACAGGUUAGGAUAGGUUGAUUGGGUCCUUGGGAUAGAUUCCGUUGGGUUGAGAUUGGUUAGGAUGGGUUAGGUUGGUUGG